rnacentral:rRNA from 1 species
GAUGAACGCUGGCGGCGUGCCUAAUACAUGCAAGUCGAGCUAACGGACGAGAAGCUUGCUUCUCUGAUGUUAGCGGCGGACGGGUGAGUAACACGUGGAUAACCUACCUAUAAGACUGGGAUAACUUCGGGAAACCGGAGCUAAUACCGGAUGAUAUUUUGAACCGCAUGGUUCAAAAGUGAAAGACGGUCUUGCUGUCACUUAUAGAUGGAUCCGCGCUGCAUUAGCUAGUUGGUAAGGUAACGGCUUACCAAGGCAACGAUGCAUAGCCGACCUGAGAGGGUGAUCGGCCACACCGGAAAUGAGACACGGUCCAGACUCCUACGGGAGGCAGCAGUAGGGAAUCUUCCACAAUGGGCGAAAGCCUGACGGAGCAACGCCGCGUGAGUGAUGAAGGUCUUCGGAUCGUAAAACUCUGUUAUUAGGGAAGAACAUAUGUGUAAGUAACUGUGCACAUCUUGACGGUACCUAAUCAGAAAGCCACGGCUAACUAAGUG